rnacentral:rRNA from 1 species
CAUAAAAAUUUAUAAUAGAAUUUUAUUUUUUAGUCAAAAAGCUAAAAUAUAUUUAAAAGACGAGAAGACCCUAUAAAUCUUUAUAUUUAGGUUAUUAUAAUUUUAUAGAUUUUUUUUGUUAUAAUAAUUGAUAAUAUUUUAUUGGGGUGAUAUUAAAAUUUGAUAAACUUUUAAUUGUUUAAAUCAUUAAUUUAUGAAUAAUUGAUCCGUUAUUAGUGAUUAAAAAAAUAAGUUACCUUAGGGAUAACAG